CCUACGGGUGGCUGCAGUGAGGAAUAUUGGUCAAUGGACGAGAGUCUGAACCAGCCAAGUAGCGUGAAGGAUGACUGCCCGAUGGGUUGUAAACUUCGUUUAUAAAGGAAUAAAACGAGGCACGUGUGCCUUUGUGCAUGUACUUUAUGAAUAAGGAUCGGCUAACUCCGUGCCAGCAGCCGCGGUAAUACGGAGGAUCCGAGCGUUAUCCGGAUUUAUUGGGGUGAAAGGGAGCGUAGAUGGGUUGGUAAGUCAGUUUUGAAAGUUUGCGGCUCAACCGUAAAAUUGCAAUUGAUACUGGCAGUCUUGAGUACAGUUGCGGUAGGCGUAAUUCGUGUUGUAGCGGUGACAUGCU
rnacentral:rRNA from 1 species